AUUGUCAUUGAAGUAAAAUUGGAACCAAGUUUGUUUAAGGGACCUGCAGAUGUGGCCUUUAGGAAGGAAAGGGCAGGCCAUAGGGGAGCCCAAAAAAGGGGGCCUGGUCGGCGAAAAACCCUUUUUCCAUGGUUAAAGGGUUUAAGCGUAUCAAUUUUUCCGUCGGUCAACCAUUUUGAAGAAAAAAAAAACGUAACAAGGUCUCCGUAGGUGAACCUGCGGAGGGAUCAUUACACAAAUAUGAAGGCGGGCUGGAACCUCUCGGGGUUACAGCCUUGCUGAAUUAUUCACCCUUGUCUUUUGCGUACUUCUUGUUUCCUUGGUGGGUUCGCCCACCACUAGGACAAACAUAAACCUUUUGUAAUUGCAAUCAGCGUCAGUAACAAAUUAAUAAUUACAACUUUCAACAACGGAUCUCUUGGUUCUGGCAUCGAUGAAGAACGCAGCGAAAUGCGAUAAGUAGUGUGAAUUGCAGAAUUCAGUGAAUCAUCGAAUCUUUGAACGCACAUUGCGCCCUUUGGUAUUCCAAAGGGCAUGCCUGUUCGAGCGUCAUUUGUACCCUCAAGCUUUGCUUGGUGUUGGGCGUCUUGUCUCUAGCUUUGCUGGAGACUCGCCUUAAAGUAAUUGGCAGCCGGCCUACUGGUUUCGGAGCGCAGCACAAGUCGCACUCUCUAUCAGCAAAGGUCUAGCAUCCAUUAAGCCUUUUGUGGAAGCAAAGACCUCGGAUAUUGAUGAAUGCCGCC
rnacentral:rRNA from 1 species